rnacentral:rRNA from 1 species
GCAGGUCAGCAUACUGCCGUGAAUACGUUCCCGGGCCUUGUACACACCGCCCGUCACACCAUGAGAGUUGGGAAUACCCGAAGCCUGUGAGCUAACGUUAAGAGGCAGCAGUCGAAGGUAGAAUCAAUGAUUGGGUGAAGUCGUAACAAGGUACC